rnacentral:rRNA from 1 species
CCUACGGGAGGCAGCAGUGGGGAAUAUUGCACAAUGGGGGAAACCCUGAUGCAGCGACGCCGCGUGGGUGACGAAGUAUUUCGGUAUGUAAAGCCCUAUCAGCAGGGAAGAAGAUGACAGUACCUGACCAAGAAGCCCCGGCUAACUACGUGCCAGCAGCCGCGGUAAUACGUAGGGGGCAAGCGUUAUCCGGAUUUAGUGGGUGUAAAGGGAGCGUAGGUGGCAUGGCAAGCCAGAAGUGAAAACCCGGGGCUUAACCCCGCGGAUUGCUUUUGGAACUGUCAGGCUGGAGUGCAGGAGGGGCAGGCGGAAUUCCUGGUGUAGCGGUGAAAUGCGUAGAUAUCAGGAGGAACACCGGUGGCGAAGGCGGCCUGCUGGACUGUAACUGACACUGAGGCUCGAAGGCGUGGGGAGCGAACAGGAUUAGAUACCCGUGUAGUC